rnacentral:miRNA from 1 species
UACGGGCAACUUCAAGGUUUCUGCUGCUCUCCUUCCUUAGGGUUCUUUAUCUUUAAACCUGACAUGAACCAGGCAACCCUUUCAAAUAUCUAUAUAUUUAUUUGUUGAAUUCGCAAAAUAAAUAAAUAGGUAUUUGAAGGCCGUCUGGUUUGAAGAUGAAGAACUCUAACAAGGGAGAGCAGCAAAGGUCUUGAAGUUGCCCUUC